rnacentral:lncRNA from 1 species
CACAUCUCCUUUUCACGUUUAUUUCAUUUUGUUUUAAGAUCACAGAAGAGCAGAGCAUUCAUACAUGUAAAGUAACAGAAGAGAGAAACAGAAUUUAAAUACAUUAAAAAGAAAAAGAAAAAAGCUUGUUUUAAUUUUAAUUUUUACACACGUUGCGCUUUUGUUUUUCUCCAUAGAGCUAGUAUAUGGGAGAAAAAAUACCCACCAAAUUAAUUUUAAAAAAAAAAGAAAGAAGAAGAAACUUCAAACAAUAAAAGUCCCAAACCAAAAAAUGAUCAUGUGUUUGUAUUGUCAAGGGAAGUUCAGUUCAUGGCUACAGGGUUGAAAAAAAGGAAUAUAUUUAUAUAUAUAUAUAUAUAUAUUUAUAUGUAUAUAACACUGUUAAUAAGAAUUCUAACCAAUAGCAGGAUUUGUAAACCCUUCCAUAGAGCAAUGAGAAGGGAGAAGGGAGAAGAAGAGGCUUUGUUACAGUACUCCAUUCUCCACAUCAUCUCCUCCCUGUUGGAAUCCCCCCCAGUAAACACUUAGGGAAUGAAACUUGGCAACAAUUCACCAGAUUACUCAGCCUUUUACAUUCUCUGGUGAAGGGUAAAGACUUAUUGGUGGUGGAAUCAGGAAUGGCCCCAGGAAACUGGUAUUAGAUGGUCUGAACUAUGAAGCUAGUAGUUAGAAGUAUUUUCUUCAUUUUCUAGAUGCAGAUUAGAACAUUUCUGCUUGUGUCUUUCUGUAGAUGAAUAAAGGUUGAGGGUAAAAAUGACCAGAAUGGGAAGAACAUCUGAAAUAAUCACAGGGAAUGGAAAUAUUCCCAGUUGGACUGGUAGUUCUCUCAUUUACAAAAUAAUUUUAUAAGUGUUCUAAGGACUUGGGUUAUCUAUAUCUAUAUAAAGUGAUAUUGACAUAUAGAAAGAUAUAGAUACAGACCACUAUUCAGCAUAUAGGUGACUAAGAUUCCAUUGGCUAGUUCUGGCAAUGCAUAGGAAGAUAAGCUAGGGAAAGGUUAAGCUUAGUCUGUUGGGAUGCUGUGGGACAUUAACCUUUGGGUCUAUAUAGCAACGUUAUAGUUAGCUUCCUAAAAGACACAGCCAGGGGACUGAAUGCAAUAUCUAAUUUAACCAAGAUAUUAAGAAACCUUUCUCCCUGCACCUAGAAGCCCAUCUUUCCUUUGCACUUUCCUUAACAUUCUAUUUAAAACCAAAGAACUUGGCUUUUUACACAGUUGAUUUUGGCCAUUUCCUAGAUCCCUCAAAGAUAUAUCACAAUCUCAUUGUCAUUUACCAUCAGCUCUAGUGUCUACUCAAUGAUUUUUCUUGACACUUUAAUCUUUUGCCUGAACGUUUGGAAUAAUAUCUACGCAGUUCUGCUAGACACUUCUAGAAACAGUUUAAAAGUGUGGGCUGAGAAUUUUUUUUUUCUUUUUUCUGCCAUUUGGUUGUUUUUCAGAGGUUGGAGUCCCUAAUACCUUGGAAUGGUUUGUUAAGAAGCUUGAGUUAUACAGGGAAAAGUGUUGGACAACAACAUUCUAAUAAAUGUUCUCUGUCUUUCCUUUUUUUUUUUUUUUAUAAUAAUACAGGGUCACCUGCACCUGCUUGGGACUUGCAUUUUAUAACUAUCAUCUCUAGGAAGAUAUCUAUUUUUAGUAUCAAACAUUUCCUGAAUUUUUAAUGGGGAACUUGAACUUCUUCAGAUUAGAAAGAAACACUUGCAGUUUAUUUCUAAAUUUGAGGACUUGCUUACUUAAAAUAUAUGGAAUACUAAAGUUAUAAGACUACAAUUUGUGGGGUAGUACAUAAUGGGGGAAACAGAUAAGGUCUUUCCCUUUCAUUCUAGGUUAAUUAAACAGUAUAACAGCUUGGUUUGAUAUAUUAAAAAAAUACUUCGGUGCUCUUAGUUAAAUAUCCCAGAUGGGUAACAUCCUCAACAUGCUACCAAAUGAUAUGUCCAGAUAUGACCAGAUGAUCAAAUCAUAAACCAUGUGAAAAUUUUUAUUAGAAGUUUUAGCCUUCCUCACUGCUAUUUGGGAGGAAGUCUGUCAAUGCUUUUAAAGGAUAUGGGAAGAUUCAGAUGAAAAAGGAAAUACUGCCAUUUAAAAUAAGUAGCUAAGCACAGUGCUAUACACAGUGCACAUCCAGUUUAUAAUCAUGCAAUUACAAGUAUCAUAACCUUCAAGAUAAUUUAAUCUAACUACCUCAGUUUUCAGGUAAGGAAAUUGAGGCCCACAGAAGUGAAUAAUUUAACCAAGAUCACACUGCUAAUUACUGAUAUAACCAAGACAACUCUAGGCCAUCAUGUAGACUUGAUUUUUUUUUUUUAAAUACAAUAGUGCUAAUAAUAAACCGAAACUAUUUUUCCGGUCUUGCCUUUGAUGUGCUUUUGUGUGCCAAUUAUUUAGUUGUUGUCAAUGUUUGUAUCUACUUUAGCAAAGAAAUCAGGUGCUUUAUGCAAUCCAAUAGUGUCUUUGCCAAAAGGACAAAGAUUCAGAAAUGGGAUUUGAGAGUGGAAUGGUGGGAACAGUUUACUAAGCCAAUUGAAAGCUGCUACUUCCCGAGAUUAAAGAAUAAGACCUUUUCAAGGAUUUUAUUUUAUUUUUUCUUUGGCAACCAGAACAUAGAUCUCUUAUAUGGAGGAUCAGCCUUUUCCUUCAUGAUUACUUGGAAAUUUGAAAGAACAUGUCUCUCCUUUUCCCCUAUUGAAAUAAUUCCAAGGGUUGUUGAGUGAAUGGAUGGAAACAAAAGUAAUUUUUUUUUAACUUAAUCAAGAUAUUUCCAAGAGUCCAUUUAAUUAAAAUGUCUAGAAUACUGAAAUAAGAUGGAAACUUUCAAAAUAGAUAAAGCAGAAACACAGCAGGGAAAAGUAUAAGAUUCUUUCUAAAUCUUUCUUUCUUUCCAAGGGAAGUCAGAAAGUUCUGAUAUUAUAUGAUGUUGCAAAUAACUGAAAUUUGUAAUUUCUAGUCUGAAUGUGUAGACUCAGAGAACAUUAGAGCUAGAAGAGUACUUAUAAAUCACCUAGUUUAACUCACUAAUUUUGCUGAUGAGAAUACUGAGGCACACAGAGGCAAGCUGACAUGGCUGAGGUAAUAGUGUCAAAGCCUGGGCCACUGCUCUUUCCAUGACACUAUUGUGUCUCCUAAAACUGGCCCCUGCACUUGUAGAUUAUGAUGGCUGGGCUGUAUCUAGCGUCUUUGAAAAGAUCAAUAGGAUUAAGCAUUGUAUGAAUAAAGCAAAGCUUUCUCCUACUGAGGGAAUUUAAUCCAUUGAGAGAUUUAGUCUUUCCUUUGACAAUUUCAAAUGGUUUAGUACUAUUUAGCACUGUGGGUUUUUUUUUUUUUUUUUUAAUAUACUUAUAGUAUUACCUGGGCUUGAGUGUGGUAGGAAAAAAAAAAAAAGAAGUUUACAUAGUUUACUUUAUGUACAUAAACUAGUGAUUUA